rnacentral:tRNA from 1 species
CAGAUUAGGUGCAAUGGAAUUUAAGAUUCAUAUAUAAAAUAUAAUUAUUUUUCUAG